rnacentral:hammerhead_ribozyme from 1 species
GCAUUGCUGAUGAGUCCCAAACAGGACGAAACAGUUGUCCAGUGC